AGAAGGGGAUGGCGAUGGCGCCGCCGCGUCUGCUGCGGGGCCUCAUCGCGCCGCUGUCGCCGGCCGACUGGCUGCCGUGCCACCAGCAGCUGCUGACCUCCGCCGCCCUCCUGCACCGCUGGUGGGUGGCGCGCCUCCGCUGCUCCGACGGAUUCAAGCUCUUCCUCGUCCUGCUCCUCGUCUCCACCGCCCUCGCCGUGAUCCGCUACGUCGCCUCCGCGUCCAUGGCGCCCACCCUCCGCCCCGGCGACCGCGCCGUCGCAGAGAAAGUGAGCUACAUGUUCCGGCGGCCGUCCGUGGGCGACAUUGUCUUCUUCAGGGUGCCCACCGCCCUGCAGAACUGCGGCAUAAAUAAAGAUGUCGUGUUUAUUAAGAGGGUUAUUGCCACCCCUGGAGAUUUCGUCGAGGUCCGGCAAGGCCAGCUUAUUGUUAACGGUGUUGCACAGAAUGAACACUACACCGCACCCCAUGCGUCGUCGUACACGAUGGAAGCCAUGGUCCACAGAUACUUGUAUGCCCAAACUACCAUGGCUCAUUAUUGCUAGACAAACAAAUGACCAUACAUACUACUACUGCAAGAGGAGGACCAAAAGUGGCAUGGCUGCUCUGUGUUGUUGACUUCCUGAGUACCCCCAUUGUUCUUUCGAAAUGAAAUGACGGGUCUCAGAUGGUGGAUGAUCUCUCCCUCCAAUCCUAUUCUCGCUCUCUGCUCAAUUCUAUGCCCGGAUCCAUCUGGUACUAAGACUGUGCAUCGUCCUGCAGCGCCUCCCUGAAGGCCAUGUAUUCGUCAUGGGUGAUAACCGUAAUAACAGCUGUGAUUCUCGUGCCUGACUAUCUUUGAUUGAAAACUUGCAACUGCUGCGAAAUUCUCGUGCUAGUCAUCUGAAGUCAUUACAGAUUGUAAUGAAUUUUUUCCCCAAAGGUUUAUUUAUUUAUAGCUGUACUGUCAAGGCGUCGACUGUAAAUAAGAGGUGAGAUUUAUGUGUUCUCAGUUUCGUGUAAUAACUUCAGAGUAGGAAUGCACAUAUGUUGCUAGAAUGCGCUCUAAAAGGAUUAGCUCGGUUUCAGCUGUUUUAUGUUGGCUAUGGCCGUUGAGGAAAUCUUGUUCGCGUCAUAUUGCAUCCAUGCUUUGAACUAGAUCCUGUAUGAUUGCAGAUUGAGUUGUUGAACUCCUAUGAUUGUCAUUUGAUCUGUAAUGGCAUAAGAGUAGAAUGCACUAAGGAUUCACUCUGUUCAAGUUGCUUUAUUAUUAUGGUUGUAUGGCUGUUUCGGAAAUCUUGUGCUUGUCAUAUUAAACAUCCAUUCUUUUGACUGGAUCCAGCAUCCAGUAUUAUUGCUUAUUGAAUUGCCGUAAUCACAAGAGUAUAGUGUCCUUGUAUGUCUGUAGUUGCCAGAAUGCGCUCCAUGGAAUUUCUGGUUACAGACUUUCAAUUGGUUUUUUCUCUAAAUUGUUCAGGAACUUGUACUAACCAUUGUGAUGCUUGU